rnacentral:rRNA from 2 species
GGGUUGUGAGGUUAAGCGACUAAGCGUACACGGUGGAUGCCCUGGCAGUCAGAGGCGAUGAAGGGCGUGCUAAUCUGCGAUAAGCGCCGGUAAGGUGAUAUGAACCGUUAUAACCGGCGAUACCCGAAUGGGGAAACCCAGUGUGAUUCGUCACACUAUCAUUAACUGAAUCCAUAGGUUAAUGAGGCGAACCGGGGGAACUGAAACAUCUAAGUACCCCGAGGAAAAGAAAUCAACCGAGAUUCCCCCAGUAGCGGCGAGCGAACGGGGAGGAGCCCAGAGCCUGAAUCAGCAUGUGUGUUAGUGGAAGCGUCUGGAAAGGCGCGCGAUACAGGGUGACAGCCCCGUACACAAAAGCGCAUGUGCUGUGAGCUCGAUGAGUAGGGCGGGACACGUGGUAUCCUGUCUGAAUAUGGGGGGACCAUCCUCCAAGGCUAAAUACUCCUGACUGACCGAUAGUGAACCAGUACCGUGAGGGAAAGGCGAAAAGAACCCCGGCGAGGGGAGUGAAAAAGAACCUGAAACCGUGUACGUACAAGCAGUGGGAGCACAGGUUUACCUGUGUGACUGCGUACCUUUUGUAUAAUGGGUCAGCGACUUAUAUUCUGUAGCAAGGUUAACCGUAUAGGGGAGCCGGAGGGAAACCGAGUCUUAAUUGGGCGUUAAGUUGCAGGGUAUAGACCCGAAACCCGGUGAUCUAGCCAUGGGCAGGUUGAAGGUUGGGUAACACUAACUGGAGGACCGAACCGACUAAUGUUGAAAAAUUAGCGGAUGACCUGUGGCUGGGGGUGAAAGGCCAAUCAAACCGGGAGAUAGCUGGUUCUCCCCGAAAGCUAUUUAGGUAGCGCCUCGUGAAUUCAUCUCCGGGGGUAGAGCACUGUUUCGGCUAGGGGGCCAUCCCGGCUUACCAACCCGAUGCAAACUGCGAAUACCGGAGAAUGUUAUCACGGGAGACACACGGCGGGUGCUAACGUCCGUCGUGAAGAGGGAAACAACCCAGACCGCCAGCUAAGGUCCCAAAGUCAUGGUUAAGUGGGAAACGAUGUGGGAAGGCCCAGACAGCCAGGAUGUUGGCUUAGAAGCAGCCAUCAUUUAAAGAAAGCGUAAUAGCUCACUGGUCGAGUCGGCCUGCGCGGAAGAUGUAACGGGGCUAAACCAUGCACCGAAGCUGCGGCAGCGACACUUAUGUGUUGUUGGGUAGGGGAGCGUUCUGUAAGCCUGCGAAGGUGGCCUGUGAGGGUUGCUGGAGGUAUCAGAAGUGCGAAUGCUGACAUAAGUAACGAUAAAGCGGGUGAAAAGCCCGCUCGCCGGAAGACCAAGGGUUCCUGUCCAACGUUAAUCGGGGCAGGGUGAGUCGACCCCUAAGGCGAGGCCGAAAGGCGUAGUCGAUGGGAAACGGGUUAAUAUUCCCGUACUUGGUGUUACUGCGAAGGGGGGACGGAGAAGGCUAUGUUGGCCGGGCGACGGUUGUCCCGGUUUAAGCGUGUAGGCUGGUUUUCCAGGCAAAUCCGGAAAAUCAAGGCUGAGGCGUGACGACGAGGCACUACGGUGCUGAAGCAACAAAUGCCCUGCUUCCAGGAAAAGCCUCUAAGCAUCAGGUAACAUCAAAUCGUACCCCAAACCGACACAGGUGGUCAGGUAGAGAAUACCAAGGCGCUUGAGAGAACUCGGGUGAAGGAACUAGGCAAAAUGGUGCCGUAACUUCGGGAGAAGGCACGCUGACACGUAGGUGAAGUGAUUUACUCAUGGAGCUGAAGUCAGUCGAAGAUACCAGCUGGCUGCAACUGUUUAUUAAAAACACAGCACUGUGCAAACACGAAAGUGGACGUAUACGGUGUGACGCCUGCCCGGUGCCGGAAGGUUAAUUGAUGGGGUCAGCGCAAGCGAAGCUCCUGAUCGAAGCCCCGGUAAACGGCGGCCGUAACUAUAACGGUCCUAAGGUAGCGAAAUUCCUUGUCGGGUAAGUUCCGACCUGCACGAAUGGCGUAAUGAUGGCCAGGCUGUCUCCACCCGAGACUCAGUGAAAUUGAACUCGCUGUGAAGAUGCAGUGUACCCGCGGCAAGACGGAAAGACCCCGUGAACCUUUACUAUAGCUUGACACUGAACAUUGAGCCUUGAUGUGUAGGAUAGGUGGGAGGCUUUGAAGUGUGGACGCCAGUCUGCAUGGAGCCGACCUUGAAAUACCACCCUUUAAUGUUUGAUGUUCUAACGUGGACCCGUAAUCCGGGUUGCGGACAGUGUCUGGUGGGUAGUUUGACUGGGGCGGUCUCCUCCUAAAGAGUAACGGAGGAGCACGAAGGUUGGCUAAUCCUGGUCGGACAUCAGGAGGUUAGUGCAAUGGCAUAAGCCAGCUUGACUGCGAGCGUGACGGCGCGAGCAGGUGCGAAAGCAGGUCAUAGUGAUCCGGUGGUUCUGAAUGGAAGGGCCAUCGCUCAACGGAUAAAAGGUACUCCGGGGAUAACAGGCUGAUACCGCCCAAGAGUUCAUAUCGACGGCGGUGUUUGGCACCUCGAUGUCGGCUCAUCACAUCCUGGGGCUGAAGUAGGUCCCAAGGGUAUGGCUGUUCGCCAUUUAAAGUGGUACGCGAGCUGGGUUUAGAACGUCGUGAGACAGUUCGGUCCCUAUCUGCCGUGGGCGCUGGAGAACUGAGGGGGGCUGCUCCUAGUACGAGAGGACCGGAGUGGACGCAUCACUGGUGUUCGGGUUGUCAUGCCAAUGGCACUGCCCGGUAGCUAAAUGCGGAAGAGAUAAGUGCUGAAAGCAUCUAAGCACGAAACUUGCCCCGAGAUGAGUUCUCCCUGAGACUU